GCAUCCUCAAAAACUAAUGCUAUAAUCUUCUUUGACAAUCGUUGUGACUUCACCUGCUUUGGAACUGAACAACCAGAUUCAGCCCACUGUAAACGUUAUUGUUUCAAUUUAAGAUCAUAUUGGAAAAUCCAAAUCUCAUUCAUAGUUAUAGAACGAUGCAAGAAAUCGCUUUUAUUCUGCUUAAAACGCUCCAAAUUAUGCUGAGAAAUUUGUUUACGAUCCAAUUUUUGUUGAAUUGUUAACGUGUGCGGCACUAACUUUCCAAACAGAUUUUUCAUAUGAAAUUCUCCAUGUAAAAUAUGAAGUACCCGUUCGUCUGACGUGCCUAUGGCAUUAGCAAUUUUACGCAUAGUCAAACUUGGACCUUCACUAACAAUAUUAUGAACUUGCUCAAUGAUUUCUGGUGUGGUUGCGGUUUUUGGUCGUCCUUCGCGUGGAUCGUCCUCAAGCCAGCUCAAAAUUAAACGGUGCGUUUUAAAGGUGAGGUCUCUUUAUACACUUCUUACAAUUGUUCAUGAAUUUAAUUUGCUUUCAAACCUAUCAAAAGAAAGAAUCUAAUCACUGCGCGAUACUCAAUUUUUUCCAUAUUAAAAAAAUGCUCUGCCACGUCAACUUCAAAUGGCUUGUAAACAAAAAAUUAAUUGACAGAAAAAUUUAUAUAUUUCGGUGGGCAAAAGUUUUGGCACGGUUCGAAUUCUCCGAAAUAAUUCCAUUGAUUCUGCUAAAAAAAAUAUAAAAAAAUUUGACAAUAACAAGUGACUGCAUGAUGCUGCACCACAUUAGAAACCUUUUAAAAAAAAUAUAGUCUUGUGUAGCGUGCAUUACAAGUAAUUACUACAAUUCUGUAAAAUGAGUCGAAGCGGACACGACAGCAGAGAAGCGAAAAAAUAUUUUACGUCUACAUUCCGCCAACAAAAGCUGUACUGAAAUCGGUGAAAUAACGAAAUUAAAUCGUUUUACCAUUCGAAGUAUAAUCAAACGUUUUAAAGAUGUGCGUUGUCUCCAAGCUGCGAAAGUUCAGGUCGUCCGAGUACGUUUAGUUCCAGAGAGGAGUCGUAUGUGUUACGUAAAAUACAAGAAAAAAAUUAUCCAAAACUGACUUCAACAAAGAUUUCUGCGGACCUUAAGGAAGAAUUAAAUAAACAUACGCAUCCGAAAACAGUACGACGUGUGCUUAUUCGCAACGGGUACAAAUCCAGAACAGCUCGAAAAAAACCUCUUAUCAGCCAGGCCAACAAAAAAAGCGUUUAGAAUUUGCUAAAGAGUAUUAAAAUAAAGCUAUAGAGAUCUAGGAUAAAGUACACAGACGAAAGAAAAUUUAACAUAUUCUAAAGUGACGGUCGAAUACAAGUAUGGAGAAAGGCAAACACUGAAUUUGACAAAAACAAUGUUAGUAAUACCGUAAAGUAUGGAGGUGGUGCAAUCAUGGUUUGGAGAUGUCAGGCAUUGGGAACUUAGUAUAAAACUUUAUAUAUGAACAUUUUGAAAUAAAAUUUGCAAGAAAGCAUAGAAAAGCUGAAUUCAGGGAAUCAGUUCUAUUUUCAGCAAGAUAGGGAUCCCAAGCAUACCUUAUGAUGUUUGUAUGUGGAUCAUUCAUCAUUCCCACGCUCUUGAAACUAAAUCAGGGGCCUUAAAUUCGAUUGAGCACUUCUGGAAUAAACUGGACCGAAGGGCCGAAAAGCAUAACGUUACAAGUAAAAGCAAAUUAAAAGAGGGACUGCAGCAUGAAUGUGCCAAUAUUGAAUCUGUGAUGAAAAGCAAAUUGGUGCACUCCAUGGCAAAUCAUUAAAAUGACGUUAUUAAAAUGUAAGGUUUGAAUACUCGUCAUUAAAUUUGUAUUUUCUUUUCCAUGUCUAAAUAUAAAUUCUAACUGUGCCAUAACUUUUGCCCAUGAAAUAUAUUCGUUAUUUAUUUAAAUUAUUGUAAAAAAAACAACCACAGACAUUACAUAAUCAAAUUAAGCAUAGUGAUAGGUAACAUAAUGUAAACUUUUCAAAUUUACUUAGACUUUCCAUAAAUUCUGUUACAAAGUUUACAAUGUAUACAGCGAGGACAAAUUGUGGCUGUAAUAUUUGUUAUGAAAUGUAUGAGUUCUUAAGAUACUUAAAUUUCGAGAAUGUUUUCUUUACAAUUGAUGACAAAAGGAGAAGUGGUCGUCCUCGCACAGUUCGAACCAAUUCUGCCAUAAAAACAGUUAGUGAACGCGUUCGCAGAAAUUCUUCCCGAAAACAGAUAAUUAUGUGAAGGGAAAUGGAUAUAUCGAACAAUCAAUGUCAAGACUUAUUCUAUUGAUCUCCAGAUGAAGCCUACCGUCGGUCAAUUGGUCAUCUUCUUACAGCGCGCUUGAAGCAAAUUAAGCUCAACAAAUGUAGAACGCGGUAAAUGGCCAUAAAAGUAUCCGUUUUACAGAUGAAAAAAUGUUCACAGUUUAAGAAGUUUUUAAUAAACCAAAUGAGAAAAUCUAUGCAAAAAAAAGGCGCAAAAAAAUUUAAUCCCAGAGUUUAACGUGGACACCAUCCAGCUGCUGUAGUGAUUUGGUGGGGAGUCCCCGAUAAAGGCAUCCCACCUUUUCACUUUUGUGGAAAAGGGAUUACAACUGGGGCAAAGGUGUGCUAGCAGUAUGUUUUAAAUGGCGUGGUUUAUAGCUUCAAACUUUAGUCCAUUAGACUACAAUUUGUGGUCAGAAUUGCAGAACAAGGCCUGUCGAACAGCCCACAGAAAUUUGGAGAGUUUCAAAAAAUGUUUGUUCUGAGCAGCGUUGUCAAUACCAGUAGAAACUGUUCGUGCUAAUGUUGAUUAAUGGUCGAUGUGCAUUAUUAAAUGGAAUUAACUUUAUUAAAAA